GCCUUCGUAGUGUAGUAGUCAACAUUCUCGACGGGUAUUCGAGAAGUCCGAAGUUCGAGUCCCGCUGAGGGCA
rfam:Stegodyphus mimosarum contig109980, whole genome shotgun sequence.